CACGGAUAACAUACCGAAAGGUAUGCUAAUACGAGAUAAUAUACUUUUAUCACAUGGUGGAAGUAUCAAAGCUUUUGCGGUACAGGAUGGACCCGCGUCUGAUUAGCUAGUUGGUAAGGUAACGGCUUACCAAGGCGACGAUCAGUAGCCGACCUGAGAGGGUGAUCGGCCACAUUGGAACUGAGACACGGUCCAAACUCCUACGGGGGGCAGCAGUGGGGAAUAUUGUAAAAUGGGCGAAAGCCUGAUGCAGCA
rnacentral:rRNA from 1 species